UUAACGCUGGCGGCGUGCCUAAUGCAUGCAAGUCGGACGGGGCAUCUUUCGGGGUGCGGCCGUGGCGGACGGGUGAGGAACACGUGGGCAACCUGCCCUGGGGCGGGGGGGUAGCCCUCGGAAACGAGGGGUAAUUCCGCAUACGCUCACUUUCCACAGGGAGGGUGAGGAAAGGUCCGUAAGGAUCACCCAGGAGGGGGCUGCGGCCGAUUAGCUAGUUGGUGGGGUAAGGGCUCAACCAAGGCGAUGAUCGGUAGCUGGUCUGAGAGGACGGCCAGCCACAGGGGAACUGAGAGACGGUCCCCACUCCUACGGGAGGCAAGCAGCAAGGAAUUUUCCGCAAUGGGCGCAAGCCUGACGGAGCACGCCGCGUGGGGAGGACGCCCUUCGGGGUGUAACCCCUUUUCUUGGGAACGAAGAUCUGACGGUACCCGAGGAAGAAGGCCCGGCUAACUACGUGCCAGCAGCCGCGGUAAUACGUAGGGGCCGAGCGUUGUCCGGAGUUACUGGGCGUAAAGCGCGCGCAGGCGGCCUGCUUGCCCGGCGUGAAAGCCCCCGGCUCAACCGGGGAGGGUCGUCGGGGACGGGCAGGCUUGAGGCCGGCAGGGGCAGGUGGAAUUCCCGGUGUAGUGUGGUGAAAUGCGUAGAGAUCGGGAGGAACACCCGUGGCGAAGGCGGCCUGCUGGGCCGGACCUGACGCUGAGGCGCGAAGGCGUGGGGAGGCGAACGGGAUUAGAUACCCCGGUAAGUCCACGCAGGUAAACGAUGCCGACGAGGCGUGGGGGGAGUUGACCCCCUCCGUGCCGGAGCCAACGCGGUAAGUCGGCCCGCCCUGGGGAGUACGGCCGCAAGGCUAAAACUCAAAGGAAUGACGGGGGCCCGCACAAGCGGCCGGAGCGUGCGGUUUAAUUUCGACGCAACGCGCAGAACCUACCCGGGCUUGACAUGCGCCUGCACCGCUCUCGAAAGAGGAGUCGCCUUCGAGGGUGGCGCACAGGUGCUGCAUGGCUGUCGUCAGCUCGUGUCGUGAGAUGUUGGGUUAAGUCCCGCAGCGAGCGCAACCCCCGCGGCCAGUUGUGUGAUGUUUCUGGCCGGACUGCCGGUAGCAAGCCGGAGGAAGGUGGGGAUGAUGUCAAGUCAGCAUGGCCCCUUACGUCCGGGGCGACACCGCACGCUACAAUGGCCAGGACAGUGGGUUGCCAAGGGCGGCAAGCCGGAGCCAAUCCUCCAAGCUGGUCUCAGUUCGGAUUCGGGCUGCAAACUCGCCCGCAUUGAAUGGUGGAGUCAGCUAGUAACCGCGGGUCAGCAACUACCGCGGUGAAUACGUUCCCGGGCCUUGUACACACCGCCCGUCACGUCACGAAAGCCGGCAACAACCUGAAGCCGGUGGGCCAACCGGGUCUCCCGGAGGCAGCCGUCGAGGGUGGGGCGGGUGAUUGGGACG
rnacentral:rRNA from 1 species